AACGAACGCUGGCGGCAGGCCUAACACAUGCAAGUCGAACGGGAUCUUCGGAUCUAGUGGCGGACGGGUGAGUAACGCGUGGGAACGUGCCCUUUGGUUCGGAAUAGCCCCGGGAAACUGGGAGUAAUACCGGAUAAGCCCUACGGGGGAAAGAUUUAUCGCCAAAGGAUCGGCCCGCGUUGGAUUAGGUAGUUGGUGAGGGAAUGGCUCACCAAGCCGACGAUCCAUAGCUGGUUUGAGAGGAUGAUCAGCCACACUGGGACUGAGACACGGCCCAGACUCCUACGGGAGGCAGCAGUGGGGAAUCUUAGACGAUGGGGGAAACCCUGAUCUAGCCAUGCCGCGUGAUCGAUGAAGGCCUUAGGGUUGUAAAGAUCUUUCAGUGGGGAAGAUAAUGACUGUACCCACAGAAGAAGCCCCGGCUAACUCCGUGCCAGCCGCCGCCGUAACAC
rnacentral:rRNA from 1 species